rnacentral:rRNA from 1 species
GACAGAGGCCCCAAGCGUUAGGCGGAAUCACUGGGCUUAAAGCGUGUGUAGGCGGAUCGUUAAGUGUCUUGUGAAAUCCCACGGCUCACCCGUGGAACUGCUGGGCAUACUGGCGAUCUUGGGCCACUAGGGGCAGUCGGAACAAGCGGUGGAGCGGUGAAAUGCGUAGAUAUCGCUUGGAACGCCGAAGGUGAAAACAGGACUGCUGGGGUGCGCCGACGCUGAGACAGAAAGCCAGGGGAGCAAACGGG